rnacentral:rRNA from 1 species
UACCCGCUGGAAUUAAGCAUAUCAAUAAGCGGAGGAAAAGAAACCAACCGGGAUUGCCUCAGUAACGGCGAGUGAAGCGGCAAGAGCUCAAAUUUGAAAGCUGGCUCCUUCGGGGUCCGCAUUGUAAUUUGCAGAGGAUGCUUCGGGUGCGGCCCCUGUCUAAGUGCCCUGGAACGGGCCGUCAGAGAGGGUGAGAAUCCCGUCUGGGAUGGGGUGUCCGCGCCCGUGUGAAGCUCCUUCGACGAGUCGAGUUGUUUGGGAAUGCAGCUCUAAAUGGGUGGUAAAUUUCAUCUAAAGCUAAAUACUGGCCGGAGACCGAUAGCGCACAAGUAGAGUGAUCGAAAGAUGAAAAGCACUUUGAAAAGAGAGUUAAAAAGCACGUGAAAUUGUUGAAAGGGAAGCGCUUGCGCCGGGCUCGCCGUCGCUGAGGG